GAUGAAAAACGCAGCGAAAUGCGAUAAGUAGUGUGAAUUGCAGAAUUCCGUGAAUCAUCGAAUCUUUGAACGCACAUUGCGCCCCCUGGUAUUCCGGGGGGCAUGCCUGUCCGAGCGUCAUUGCUGCCCUCAAGCACGGCUUGUGUGUUGGGCCUCCGUCCUCCUCCCGGGGGACGGGCCCGAAAGGCAGCGGCGGCACCGCGUCCGGUCCUCGAGCGUAUGGGGCUUCGUCACCCGCUCUUGUAGGCCCGGCCGGCGCUUGCCGACACAUCAAUCUUUUUUCCAGGUUGACCUCGGAUCAGGUAGGAAUACCCGCUGAACUUAAGCAUAUCAAUAAGCGGAGGA
rnacentral:misc_RNA from 1 species